AUGCUUUGCUUUAAGAAUGAACCUAGUGUAUUGCUAUACUAAUGGACCUAGUCAUUGGCUAUGGGAAUGGACCUAAUGCUAUGCUAUAAGAAUGGACUUUCUUAGUGUUGUGCUAUAAGAAUGGACUUAACUUUAUGCUUUAAAAUUGGCUUUAAUGUUUCACUCUAAAUAUGUACCUAGUGUUCUGCUAUACAAUUAUUCCUAA
rnacentral:lncRNA from 1 species